rnacentral:lncRNA from 8 species
AUGCUGUGCCUUAGACCGCAGUGCCAUUCGGGAGCCCUGCUAGAGAACUGUAACUUUAUUGAUCUACUGAACANNNNNNNNNNNNNNNNNNNNNNNNNNNNNNNNNNNNNNNNNNNNNNNNNNNNNNNNNNNNNNNNNNNNNNNNNNNNNNNNNNNNNNNNNNNNNNNNNNNNGAACCGCUCUUCCGAUCUGGGGAUGAACCAACAGGUAGAGACUCUGGGGAUGAACCAACAGGUAGAGACUCUGGGGAUGAACCAACAGGUAGAGACUCUGGGAAUGAACCAACAGGUAGAGACUCUGGGUAUGAACCAACAGGUAGAGACUCUGGGUAUGAACCAACAGGUAGAGACUCUGGGGAUGAACCAACAGGUAGAGACUCUGGGGAUGAACCAACAGGUAGAGACUCUGGGAAUGAACCAACAGGUAGAGACUCUGGGUACGAACCAACAGGUAGAGACUCUGGGGAUGAACCAACAGGUAGAGACUCUGGGUAUGAACCAACAGGUAGAGACUCUGGGUAUGAACCAACAGGUAGAGACUCUCGGUAUGAACCAACAGGUAGAGACUCUGGGGAUGAACCAACAGGUAGAGACUCUGGGGAUGAACCAACAGGUAGAGACUCUCGGUAUGAACCAACAGGUAGAGACUCUGGGGAUGAACCAACAGGUAGAGACUCUGGGUAUGAACCAACAGGUAGAGACUCUGGGUAUGAACCAACAGGUAGAGACUCUGGGAAUGAACCAACAGGUAGAGACUCUGGGUAUGAACCAACAGGUAGAGACUCUGGGGAUGAACCAACAGGUAGAGACUCUGGGGAUGAACCAACAGGUAGAGACUCUGGGUAUGAACCAACAGGUAGAGACUCUGGGUACGAAACAACAGGUAGAGACUCUGGGUACGAACCAACAGGUAGAGACUCUGGGGAUGAACCAACAGGUAGAGAUUCAAGGUACGAAACAAGAACAGAUUGUUAGCUCAGGUCAAAGACUAGAAGGCCAUGGUUCAGAGUUUGACAAGGAGCUAAAGGUUCAGAGUGAAAACAUUGAAGUUAAAGCUUCAGUGGGUCAGGAAGUGGUGGUACAGGCUUCACAUCAGGAGAAUCAGGAUCCUGAUCAAGACAGUGACAUUGAAGUUUCAGGUCAGGAGGUCAAGGUACAGGUUACAGGUCAGGAGGUCAAGGUACAGGUUUCAGAUCAGGAGGUCAAGGUACAGGUUUCAGAUCAGGAAUUAAAGGUACAGAUCUUAGGUCAGGAGCUCAGCUAUGAGCAGGUAGAGCUGCUCUGCUCUGCUGCAGUGGUGCAGUGGUCUCCCCCAGCACCCCAGGUAGGGAUACCUGAGCUAGAGGCCUUGCAGUCUGGGUACCUGGCAACGCUGCUCCCUUGUCCUCCUGUGUGGGCCCUAGCUUCCUCUGUGGAUCCACCAGCACAGAAAUACUCAGGGUUAGGGUCCAAAACCAGGACCCUGGAAGGCUCACAUCUCUCCUACCCCUGGAGAAAACAGUACAUGGAUCCACCCCAACCCCGGUCCACCCAGAGAGGCCAGCCCAGACACCCCAUCCCUAGGAGGGCCUACGGCUCAGAAUCAGAACCAUCGGAACUGGGCCAGGCCCUUAACACCAGCCUCUCACCCCCACCUUCUGAAUCUACGACCACUGAUGUCAUGACCUCUGUCCCCACAACCCCUGAUCUUGACCUUUGCUUCCUGCCAUCAGCACCCACAACGUCCAACCAGGAGCCCCGCCCACAUGAAGCCAAACAGGAAGUAAAUGUCCCCAUGGCACUGCAAAGUGGGGAGGGGGAGGUGACAUGUCAGAAGGGGGAGGGGCAGGGUAGCGCUGUGAUUUCACACAAAGAUGAUGUCAUCACUAUGCGUGGUUCAAGUGUUGCAGAGCCAGAAAGACUACAGACAGAAAAGCAGGAGAGACCAAAGUACAGGACAUUAAACUACGGCGACCCUUCAGCGAAACUGAUUUAUAAACCCAAAAUCAUCCGAUUCACCGAUACCUUUCAUUUCUAAGUCACUCGUUCACUCACUCUAACUUCAGUGAUGCGUCUGUCUGUGAAAGAAAGAUAAAAGCCUUCUGAACUUUCUCUCUCCUCACAGUGAAACACAAUACACCUUCAAGGUCAUGCUAGCUAUCCCAUGUGUUGCUGUCCUCUGAAAGCCGUGGUGUUGCAGGAAGCAGCCUACGCUCUACGUGUAGAGCAGUGUGUAGAGUAGUGUGUGUGUGUGUGUGUGUGUGUGUGUGUGUGUGUGUGUGUGUGUGUGUGUGGUCCGUACUGUAACAGUGGAAAGACAAACAGAACAGCGGUGUUAAACAUUGACUAAACUAAGCCUAAUCUUUAGAAUGGGAUUUUCCUGGAAAACAAUGUGAAGCAAUAAUAUCAGGACUUAAACUGUAACUAUGACAACCGAGUCAAAUGAACCUCUGCUCUUUAUCAGAUUAAAGAAACUCAACCCUUUAUCUUGUAGUUAUUGUAUUGUUGACGUUGUGAUCAAUCUGAAACAGUUUAACUGUUCCCUUCUAAUCAACCUUUCAUUCAUUAGCCUGUUUGAGUUAGCUCUACUGACCUUGGCGUAUCUGUACUCUCCCUAAGGCUCGUGACUUGUCGUUAUCACAAGUAAACCAGAACCAAGGCACCAUACAUUUCAUUUAAUGUCAUUAGAAUAAUCUCAGAAAUGAGGUACAUAUUUGGCCACUACAUGUAUCAAUGAAGUUUACAAGAGAAUCUUUGUUCAAAUGUUGACACCAGAGGGUUAAUUUUUUUCUGGAAUGUUCCAAGGUCCCAGAUACACCCACACCCCACACACAGGUUGUUUGUGUGCCAUCUAGAUGUUCUACUACCACCACACGGUAAAUGUGCCCUCACUGCCAGUGUUUUGGCUACAGACAUGGACUAUAACCUGGGGAAAUAAGCCACUUAUCUCAUACUAUUCACACCAGUCGCCUUUCACUGACGGUUGGAAAAACAGCCCUAAACACACUAUUUUAUGCUAAGAAAUGGACGAUGUGCACUUUUAUUGAUGGGUUAUGCUCAAACACACAUGCAUAC